AAAAUUCCGUGAAUAGUGUAGCUAAAAUAAUCAAAAUACCGAAUAUAUGGGGGCUAUACGAAGACGUGGACCUGUGCAGACAGCUUUCUGUCUUAGGAUAUAGUAUCCAUAGCGAACUUCAAAUAUCAAAUUUUAAAUAAUUUCGGUGAAUAAUAUCGGUAAAAUCAACAAAAUACCGAAUAUCGGGGAUGCUGUUAUAUGAGGGCUAUACGAAGACGUGGACACAGACAAUUUUCUGUCAUAGGCUGUAAUAUCUCUUACGAACUUCAAAUACCAUAUUUGAAACAAUUCCGGUGAAUAAAGUCGCCAAAAUCAUCAAACUAUCGAUUAUCGGGAGGUGCCGUCAUAUGGUUGCAAUAAAAUGUCCAUGCCAUUGUAAUGGCCCAGUUUGAAUAUCCAAAGUUCUGCAGACAUAAUAUACAUUUGAGUAAAAUUUUAUCAACCAUCUUCAUUUUGUUCGGAAGCUAGAGUGAUUUCCACAGACGGACGUACAUCGCUAAAUCGACAUAGAAUUUUAUGUUGAUCAAGAAUAUAUAUACUUGGUGGGGUCUAAAAUUUAUAUUUCGAGGUCUUACAAACGGAAUGACAAACUUAAUAUACCCUCCAUUCUAUGGUGAAGGGUAUAAAAAUGAGACUUAAUGAACAUUUUCGUGUAAAUUGUUGAAUAUUAAGAUCGAAAUAUUUUGUGAGUAGCCGGCCUUUGUCUAAAUAAUAAUUAUAUAAUUAUUAUCUUUUUUUAAUUAAUAUGUAGUUUUAAUAAGUUGCAACAAUGGGGAUUCAGAUCCCAGAAGAUGAUCGACAAUCGAAAUAUUGGAUAAAAUAAAGAGAAAACAGGAAACAACUAAAUAAAAUAGGUUUAUUGACCUUCAGCCGAAUUAAGAAGGUAAAGUCAUGCAAUCAUAUCUUUACAAUUUGUUCAAAAUUAUUCAUUUGACAACAUCUCAUUGUCAAAAUUUAUAUUUUAAAAUCCAUUGUAUGUACACAAAUCAGAGGUGGGAGCCUUUUUUCGAAGUAGUGAAAUUUGAUAAGGUAAAUUACAGAAAAUGUAGAGAUAAAUAUGCUUAUCUGAAAUGACUUUACCUUCUUAAUUUUACAAUCAGCCGAACCAUCAUCAAACAUAUUAAAUUGGAAAAAUUUUGUCUUAUAAGAUGCAUCAACAGAAACUUGGCCAGUUCUGUUCCGAAAAACAGUUCUUAUUUUUAAUUCUUGUAAAAAAUGGCUUGUUUCCAAAUAAAGGAAUUUGAGGCGUUCAGUGAAGGUCCGUACUAAAGGCCUCUACAAGACGAAUUGUAUGAAUUAUGCUUUUUUCGACACACUGACUUUGUCUACUCAAUCAUGCGCUAUGUAUUUGAUAGACAAUGACAACCAACAACAUCCCCCAUUUUGAUUCAUGUGUGUCAUUGUCUAAGGUUCGAUCGUGGCAUGCCUGACUCGAAUAUUUGCAUGGUGUUCUCCAUAAAUGCAGUGUGUGGUCGAUGACAUCGAACCGUGUCAUCGUCAAAUUGUGUGUCAUUUGUGUACGUGUGCUUAAAUUGAGAGAGUGUGUGUUACUUUCGACGGUGAGGGAGUGUUUUUGUGUGUGCUGUAAUUUUGAAGUAACAAACACCGCGUAAAUAUAAAAUUGGGUUCAAUAAAAAAUUGUGCAUAGACAUCAACAAAUGAAUAGAAAAAAAUUAAAUAUAUACUGAACAAUCCCAAUUUAUUGGUGAUUAUCAUAAAAUUUUGGUCAUAAAAGGAGGUAAAUAUUGUUUGCCUAUUUUUUUUAUCUACAUGUAGUGUUCUUUUAAAAUGAAAGUUUGUUGGCAGAGAUUAGAAUCUCAUUCAAUAACAGAAUUGAACAAUAGAAGUAUAUAUAGUGUUGUUACGGGAAUUACAGUGGCACUCAUUCCCCGUUACACCUCAAUACCGGAAGCAAACAUUUAUGAAAUUAUAAUCAAAAUAAGAAAAUUUUUUUAUUUUAGAUUGUUUCGUCAAUAACGAAAUGUAAAAAUUUUGUGUAGACCAAUAAGAAGUACCUUUAAUAUUGUAGUAAUCGCCAAGGAAUUGUUUAUUACAAAAAAAUUAUUUUUUCACAUAUCGGAAAAGCAGGUUGCGAUUACGCUUUGCCUUUAUCACGUGUGUGUCUUUUUCGUUGGCAAUUGUUUCAUAUUUGUUGUUGUUUUUUUGAUAGAACAUUUUUGUAUGACACACUAUUCAACAUUUCCUUGUAUUGGUCAUUACAUGUUAUGAAAAUGGGUUUGAGUGUGACCGACAUGACGAGACAUCGAACAUUUGGUUGAAUGUCACGUACUGUUAUGCGUUUGAUCAAACAGGGCUCAACAUGACGAGCGUUUUCUCUGCAUGGCAUAAAUAGAGAAAAUUGUCACAUUUGCAGCCCUUUAGUCCGUACCCUCGUGGAGAAGACCCGAACCAGAUUGGUGAAUAAAUGCGUGUAUUCUAAGUAGUGAAAUUUGAUAAGGUAAAUUACAGAAAAUGUAGAGAUAAAUAUGCUUAUCUGAAAUAACUUUACCUUCUUAAUUUUACAAACAGCCGAACCAUCAUCAAACAUAUUAAAUUGGAAAAACUUUUGUUUUAUAAGAUGCAUCAACAGAAACUUGGCCAGUUCUGUUCCGAACAAAAACAGUUCUUAUUUUUAAUUCUUGUAAAAAAUGGCUUGUUUCCAAAUAAAGGAAUUUGAGGCGUUCAGUGAAGGUCUGUAGCCUCGUGGAGAAGACCCGAACCAGAUUGGUGAAUAAAUGCGUGUAUAUUAGUCUUUUCUGAUUCUUGUUUGGAAGUUGAGUCAACUUUGCGUUCGUGGAAGUUUAUGUGAAUAACAUAUUGUACAUAAGCUAGGAAGCGCUGGAUUGAUGAUGAUUGGUGCAUUCUCAAGAAGUAUUCCCCAAUGGUCGUGGGCAAACAAAGUUCUGGGAUGAAAAUCACUGGCGAUUCUAUAAAGCUAAAACUUUUGCGAUUUUUUUCCAAUUUUUUGUUCUACAAAAAGAUUAAAUGUGGUUUUUAUUUGGUUUAAAAUUAGCUGGUUGGGGAAAAUUGAAAUCUUAAUCCAAGGUAGUCAUUUUUAUUAAGCUAAGCCGUUCUUUUUAGCAACGUAACAAAUAUUCGUAAAUGUUAAUUCUCAGCCAUUUCGCAAAUUGCUUCAACGAUCUUUUUUUUAAUCUAAUGGAUACCUGGGAUCAUACAAAAAGGCGUAUUUUGGAUGGAAAGAAACAGAAAACAUGAAAGGAAAAUCAGAUAUUACGGAUCGUUACGAGAAUGAAAGGAUGCAAAAGAUAUUUUUCAAACAAUUUAAACAAAUGUCUCAAUAAAUGCAAGAAAAAAAUUGGAGAUAGAAGAAAAAACCCCGAAAUAUAUCUAAUCUGCAAAUUAAAACAUUACAUUUUUGCUACAAUUGCUUGUAAUCAAAUAACGAUAACUACAAACCUAGAACCAAGUACUAUCACUACUUUGAAGGACUCUCCUUUUCACUUCAUGUCUCUGGCUUGCAAGUAUUGCUUUCUCACUUUGAGAUCCAAAUGGAACCCUAGCUUUUACAUGCAUGUCUGGGCUUCAGUUCAAAGACCAUUCCUUCAAAUCUACAACCAGAAAUCACAACUUCUAAGUUUAACCCAUACUCUUUGGAAUGGAUAUAGGACUAUUAAUAUUAAGACUUGGAACUCUGAUGAAAUCAUUUAGAUCAAUUUUAACUCAAAAAACCAAAUUUUGAUAGACAGUUGGAGGAUGGACGGAUAUGUCAUGAUUAGGGAAUUAGAGAAUCAUCCUGUAUAAAAAAACAAUAUGAUGCCUCAAUACUUUAAUACUUAGAACUUGGUCAUUUGCAGAAAAUCAGUCCAAAUGAAGAAGGGAAUCACUAUAUGUCGGUUCACAGUCAUAAAGCUCAACCGUCUCACAACGACAUACGAAGUAAAAUUUAACGCUUAUAGUCCCUCAUCAAAAAAAGACAGUUUUAACGACAUUCGCCAACAGGUUUUUAUACUACGAAAAUUAAAAUGGAUUCUAUUAAUACGCCUUUCAUGCAGAUAUCACAAAAAUGUAUCAAAAAGCAUUAGAUUCACAUCAAACAUAAUGUCAUGGUAUUCUCUUUAGGCAGUCACAGUAGAGGAUAAUGAAUCAAUCAGUCACGUUUGGAGUUAACUGUGCACAUUUAGCAUUUAAAACACUUUUGAAACUAGAAAAACUAUUAGCUUGUGGAAUAGGAAUUAAUCAAGGGCUGAAAGGAGUUAACAUCCGUUUUUGACUCUGCUGGAUUUACACUUAUGAAAUUGGCGUAAAACAGUUACUACUACUAAUUUGAUCAGGCCAAUAGAAAAUAACCCAAAUGAAGUAGUAUAGUUUUGUCAUAAAUAGCAAAGUAAUUGGAUAUCUCUUGUAGCUUCAAUUAAAAAACUGCUGUCAUCCAGCCUUGAAUUAUGUGGGCAAGUUUUAAUGUCCAAAUUAGUUAAUUCCAUUGUAUAUAGUAUACAAAUACUCAACACAAAGCCUGCUUGCUUCAAUUAACCUUUAUUGGAAGUAGUCUUGGAAAUUUCUGUUCGUCUGACCAACGUAUGUCCGUAUUCUGCCAAUUUGUUUGGCAGUUUUUUUUCUUUUGUUGUAGAGUUUUUUCUCUCUUGAUUGUCUGCUAACAUUUGUAGUAAAUACCGAGUUUGCCCCAUAUAUAAUAUAUAACAACAAAUAAAUAGACCUAUAAUAUCUAGAGUGGUCACAAAAACCUUCCUGGUCAUUUGUUAUACCUUCCUCAAACUUUAUUAGAGACGUCAUAGGGUUAAGGCAUGAACUUCAAGAUAUCAUUGACGGUUUACGGAAAUCCGAUGACGUCCGUCACUUAUGCAAGGGAGGAAUUAACACCGUUUAGUAGAACCACCCUACUGUUUCGCUGGUACUCAAACAUCAGUCCAGCGAACUCAACCUUCAGCGACAGUAUCAUAUUACAUUCGGCUAUGGUAGUGACUUGUAGAUAACACAGCAGUUGUGCACAAGUGUCGUGACAACGCCGUAUCGGUUAGUCGAAAGUAAUAAAUCAAGUGUGAGGCUGAAAGUGUUCAAAUAAAAUAGUUCUGUUUAAAAAAUGUCUUCGUGUUUUCCGCAAAAAAUAAUCGAGAGUUAGGUAUUCUCAGCUUCUUAAAAUUUAUAAUGAACUGUGUUCUUAACUUGAUUAAGCUAUGGCGUUCACCAGCGAAAAGCUAAAAGCAAUCGUGGAAUGCGCCGUAGGAGGUACGUUCGCGACGCAAAAGCAGAGCUUUAAUCAACAGCGACUAGAAGUUAGGGAAGAACUCCGAGAAACAGUCAUACCUACCCCUGAAGUGGAAACCUAUAUAUAGAUAAGAUUAAGUAUCUCGUCAUGAAAAAUACGAUGGCAGUUCCAAGCAUUACGAGGCCUUAGGCAUAAUGUGGAACAAAAUUACGAGUUCAGUGGAUAUGACAAUUUCAUUCUUUGACACCCCUCUCAAUAUUAGGGGUAUUAUAUUAUAAUAAAUAGGUCAGAUAUCACAUACGAAUUAGAUAAGAAAUUAACUCUACCUAUAAAUAAAAUCAUCAUGACAUACGACAGCAAAGUAAUUGCGUCUUUGAUUGAGAAAUAUAGGGCAGAAGUAGUAGGGAUCUGGGGGAGGAAGUGGCAAAUGCUAUAAAAUUUUACGACCUUAGACUUCCGUUUGCAAACCAUGUAUUGGAAGUUUUAUACCCAUCAUAAAUUAGUUGUGAAACAAUUAGAAACAAAUUUGUCUCGAGUUGUUGUUUUUCCUAAUAUGUUAGGGGGACACAUCCCUACAGUCGGAUGCGCGUUUGAUCCCUACAUUCAGCCAUUAUCAUCACUUGAGGGUAAUUAAUGGAAAAUGUAAUGAGACUCAUAUUUUGAUUUUUUUAUUUUUUGUGUUUUGUUUUUUUUUUUUUUUGUUAAUGUUUGAAGAGCUGUUUGUGUGUGUUGUUUGGUUUUUUCUUAAGCCAGCCCUCACUUGGUAUCAUCUAAUCUGUACCACUUGUUCCACAAAAGUUAUAAAAAAUGUACUUGAAAAAAUUAUAAAGAAUGUACUUGAAAUUAUUUUAGCUCACUACAUUUAAUCCAUAUGGGAAAUCUGUUAAAAAUUAUUUUUGACGGCUAGAUGUAAGAAGUUAUUUGUAAAAUUUUAAGAAUUAAUGAGGCAUUCUGAUCUUAGAUAUCCCAGUAUCCCAAAUGUACUUGUUGUAUUUUUGAAGAUCUAGGAUGAAAAAUAUUUUGAAAAUAUACAUAUGUGUCUGUUAGUGGAAGGUUCUUAGGUUUUCUAUAGAAAUGACUAGUGUUAAUAUAGUACAGAGUUUUUUUUAAAUAGCUUUAGUAUAAAAUAAGAAAUUCAAUCGCAAGCAUCAACCCCAAAUUUUUCCAAAUCAAAAUGGCACGACAUUUUUGCGAAUUUUGCUAUGAAACGUUCACUAUUAAAAACGAAUAUUUAAGGCACAUUAAAAAGCAUUGCCCCGGCUGUGGACAUUUUUCUAAUAAUAAUACAUAUCAAUUAAAAUUUCACCAAAAAAAUAUAGAUGUCCUCCUAUGUAAAAUCAGCCAUCUAUUUACUCAAGAUUACAUAAUAGUGAAUAUGCAAAUUGCAAUAGUGUAACCCUAUCACCAAGCGGAAUCAAUUUAUAGUAGACCAAUUCACACGCAAUGGUCAUAACAUUCCCCAAACGUCUGCACAAGGUGAAUUGACACAGCAACCAUCAUGUAUUCCAUCCCAACAAAGUGAAGGUGGAAACAAAUUCUGCAAUAAGUGCCAUAAAGCGGUGCGACAUAUGUCGGCUCACCUUCGCAGUGAUGAACAUCAAAUUGCAAUUAGAAAAAUUUUUGGUGAAAAUGUGAACAUUUUUAAAAACUCUUUUGGCGAAAACACACAUAUUGAUUAUGGAUAUGUCAGGGUUAUUACGUUCACAAUUGACAGCACAUAAAGCUAGAUCAAUCAUUUGUAAUGGUUGCAUACAAAGUUUCACAACGGAAGCCGUAUAUGAGGAACAUCAGAAGGAGUGUGUUGGGGUCGUAACGGAGAUGUCAAAAGAGGGAGAAAACAUCAUUCGUUUUAAAAACUACCACAAAAAAGAGAGAGUACCAUUUGUGGUCUGUACGGAUGCCGAAUGUAUCCGGAGAACCUCAUCACGAACACAGUUACGGUAAAAAGCACAUUCCUUACGCAUUUAGUUUUUAUAUAAAAUGAAGUUUUAAUGAAAUUUUAAAUUUUAUAUUUAUUGUGACCCCGAAAAACUUUUUAGAAAAUCGAAUACGGGAUUGUAAGUUUAUUUACAACUCGUAUUUGUCAAAAACGGUACCAAUGAUUUCUUUGACUCAGAAGGAAUUAGAUAACUUUAUUAGCAGUAGUGUGUGUCACAUUUGUGAAAAAGCCUUGGGUAAUGACCUAGUUAAGGAUCAUUGCCAUUUAACCGGAAAAUAUCCGGGGGCGGCACACAAUGAAUGCAAUCUCAAAUAUCGUGUGUCAAAAUUUAUACCAAUAUUCUUUCACAAUUUUUCCAAAUACGAUUGCCAUUUAUUCUACAAAGAAUUAAUGCAGUGUGAUGGAGACAUUGAUGUAAUUCCUUUAAAUAAGGAAUUAUAUUUUCAACGUCAUUUUUUAUUAACAUGAAAAAUGAUUUAAAUGAAAUGGCGGUGAAUUCAAAAAACCAAUGGUGGAAUAAAUUUGAACUAAGUUUCUUGGACAGUUUUCGUUUUAUGUCUUCCAGUUUGGAUAGUUUAGCUAAAAAUCUACCUAAAAACGCAUUUCAAGCUGUUCGUACACAGUUUCCAAAUGAUGCUGAGUUCAACGUGUCUUCAUUAAACAAAUUAUAUGAACGACAAUUGCCGGAUCGAAAUGAAUUUUACAACAGUUUGACUGAUAGUGAGUGUUCGUUAGAUGAUUAUAGACAUGCGCAGAAUGUAUGGAGUCACUUUGAAUGUCAAACUGUCAAAGAGUAUACAGAGUUGUAUUUAAAAACAGAUGUCUUACUAUUGGCAAAUGUGUUCGAAAACUUUCGAAGUUUAUGCCCCCGUCACCAUGGACUUCAUCCUUGCCAGUAUUUUAUAGUACCAUCACUAUCUUGGGAUGUCAUGUUUUUGUGUACGGGUGUUGAAUUAGAGCUAACUACAGAUAUUAACAUGUAUAAUUUCUGUAAGAAUGGCAUUGAAGGUGGACUUACACAAUGUUCAAAUAGACACUCGGUAGCCAGUAUUAAACACUCUGCAGACUAUGACCCUAGUAAACCCGAGGUGAAUAUUUAUAACUUAGACGUCAACAAUUUAUAUGGUAAAGCAAUGACACAAUGCUUGUUUUAAGUUUUUAACUCAAGAAGACUUGGAACAAUUCAAUAACGUCAGUAAAAUAUUGGCGAUUCCUAAUGAUUCACCAACUGGUUAUUUUUUUAAUAUGGAUUUAGAAUAUCCACAAAAUCUACAUGACAAACACAAUGAUUUACCCUUUUGUCCUGAAUCCAAAUGUGUCGGUGGUUGCAAGAUCAAAAAGUUGAUUGCAGAUUUGAAUGACAAAAUGUCUUACACCAUUGAUUAUAGAGUGCUUCAAAAAUGUAUCCAGCAUAACUUAAUUCUUAAAAAGUCAAUAGCUGUUUACAGUUUACGCAAUCUAACUGGCUUGCAGCAUACAUAAUGAUGAACAAUUCUGUUUAUGGCAAAACAAUUGAAAAUGUGAACAAAAGGAAAAUCGUUGAAAUAAGAAACCAUUGGGAAUCUUAUGGGAAGCCCUGGGGGCACGGGAUUUCAUCCCAAUUUUCAUAGUUUAACACACUUUGCAGAUGGUGGCAAUUCAAAUGAACAAAGUGAGUGUGAAGUAUGAUGGAUUUUGUAUUUUAGAGUUAUCAAAAUGGGUCAUGUACGAUUUCCUCUAUGAUUUUUUAAAAGUAAAGUUUGGUUAUGACUUUAUUUUAAAUUAUAUGGAUACUGAUUCCUUCAUACUAACUUUCACUAACCGCAAGCUCUUUGCCGAACUAUCACGAGAGGAUAUUAUGGCUGGAUUUGACACGUCAGAUUCUUCGCCAUCCAACCCAUAUAAUAUACCAAUUCUCAAUAAAAAAAAGUAAUUGGAAUGAUGAAGGACGAGAACUGCGGAAAGACGGUAUCGGAAUUUGUAGGCCUUAGGCCAAUAAAGUACGCUAUAAAAGUCCACAAUAGUGAAGAGGUAAAGAAAUCAAAGGGUGUUAAAAAAUCAGUUUCGAAGCAGUACACCAUCGACACGUAUAGGAAUUGUCUGUACAAUAAAAUGAAAUAUUACAAUAGUAUAUAUACAUUUAGAUCGAGGAAACAUGAAAUAUAUACAGACAAUAUAAUUAAUAUAAUAAAAACAAUUUUUGUAAUGAUGUUAUAGAUUUAGAAAAUAUAUAUAGAACUAGAUGUAGAUAUAAGUAACAUACCCCCUGUAAAUACAAUAGACAUUCCUUUAGACGGGGAUGACAACUCUAUUUUUGAAUUGUUGAAAAUGACUUUGUAAAUAUAUAAAACAAUUUGUAUAUAUUUAAUGAAACAUUUAUUGCUUAAAAAUAAAAAAACAAUCAAACAUUUAUUUUUAUUUCACAAAUAUACUUAAUUUUAAGACAUGGAAGCAUAAAUUACUUAUACAGCUCUUCGAACAAUUCCGGUUAAAGGUAUGUAUUCCACCAGUCGGUCAUGAAUGAUUAGACAAUAUGAUGAGGUAUUUUGAGAUAUUGGAAUAUUGGUGGUAAAUUCGAUUUUAAAAUCAAUCGGUUCAAUUUUUACAGCUUCAUUUUGAUUGCUUAUAUCAAUAACGGUAAUUGGAUUAUGUUUAAAAGUAGUGUAUGUUAGAAGCGGAUGUGGCUCACUCAUAUAAUAUGUUUGUAGAAACUUGGUAUACAUAUCAUAAAGUAUUACAUAACGAUUUUCUGAGAACUUAAGAUUUAAAUCAUCAUAAGGAUAAGUCUCAGAAUUCAAGUGUACUUUCAUGUUUUCAAGAUCACAAUGAAUCAAUUUGUUGUCCCUUUCAAACACUAACGCAACAUAUCGCGGUCUUUCGUGACUGGCAGACAUUUUAACACACAAUUAUGUUUUAAACCAACAGAAAAAGUUGGAUUAAAAUAACAAUCCCAACUUCCUUAAUAGCUUUCAGGAAACUAAUUUCUCUAUAAUCAGACAAAUUAAUAUGUUGAACUUUCCACACAAUAUUUGUAAUUGUUAGUCGAGUCAGUUGAAUGUAAUUAUCGCUCGCAAGAGAAUAUUGUUUCCCACACAAUUAUGCCUCAGUCUAGCGUUUGAUGAAAUUUCUCCGUUUGCUUUUCUCAAAUGCCCUUCAAUGUACAAAUAGCUUUCUAGUGGUAAUAUGUAUAAAUCUUGGUUUUGAAUGCUGAUACAUAUUUUAUCAUUAUUUUUAAAUGAUUGAACAUAAGGUACAUAUCUGUGGUAGUCCCACUUUACGAUAUUCUCAUCAGAGAAUGGCCUUUCAUUUAUAUUAAUAACUUAAGACAUAGGGUUUUAUUUUAAUUUAAGUAAUUUCAAAAACUCUUUAUUUUCUUUAGAUAGAAAUGGGUUUGUCGGUUUGACAACUUUAGUGUGAAUGUUUGGAGUUUGUUUAUAAUUGCCUUGGUCUUAUAUGAAUUCGAAGUGUGAUUUCCUCACCACGAUCAAUCAAUCGACCUUCUUGAUCUAGUAUUAAUAUUUUAAGACAACUAAUUUCCUUGACGUUCAAAGGCAAAUAAAUAAGGUUCAAUGGUCUUUCAUCCAAUUUAUAGCCUGGAGGAACAUCUAUAGAAAAUUCGUGAAGAAUAUGUGCAGGUGAGUUGUUCAUAAAUGAUCCAGUUACUGUGUUGCAUUGUAUUUGAACAGCAUUCACCUUCAAAAUAUUUACUGGAAGGUUAGAUAUGUGCCUUUUCCCCGGCUUCAAAACUUUGUCUGUGAAACCAAAGAGUUUGAGAAAUCUAUAUUUCUCCUUAUUGAAAUAAACAGGAUCAUAAGAAGAUGUAAUUCCUAUUUGUAAUAUAUUAUUAUUGGCUUUAAUAUCUAUAGAUCUAUUAGAGCUGUACUCGGUUUCCAAAAAGUCUGCAAUAUCUUGCAAUUCAUAUGAUCCUAUAGAUAUUUUUAUUGUAUCAUCUCCAAUAUGAUUAUUAUCCUCAUCCACAUUAGAAAUUGAAUUGUACGAUUGGAAAUCAAUUAAACUACACUCGUAAUCAGUAUCACCCAAUUCAAUGGGUGGUGAAUAAUUUGAGCAUAAAACUGAAUUACUACCCGGCAAAGUAAACGUUCUUGACAUUGCAAGAUUCUAUGUUGUAAUAUAUAAUACAUAACCGAAUCUGACACUUUCAUAUUUUAUUGUUAAAAAAUUAUUACAAAACAUUAUUUUUAUUUAUCCACGAAUUAUUCCGAUUUGAGAACCCCAACCAUUUCACAUAAACUUUGUCAUUCUUUGAUUUUAGAAUUUUCUCCACCAAAUAUGUGUUUGGAUAUUUUGUAGGUAAAAGUUCUUCUCUAUAAAAACAUCCUUGUAUUGAAUUUCCUUCAAAAUCUUCGAGCAGAUAUGUAGGGGUUGGUUAUUCUUAUCCUUUUUGUUCUAAAAAUUUCGGUUGUCCAGUUUGGAGUAUAACCCUUUUCAAAAUGAUGUUUAUAUUUGCUGAUGCGUACGCGAUCACCGACAUGAAGGUGUGAUUUUUUUUAAAAGAUUUUUAUAUAACUCUAAACAGAUCUCAGCAGUAAUUUCUAGUUUGAGGAAUUCACUUGUAUUGUAUUAAAUCCCUAUAGAGUUUGAUCCAUAGAUAAUUUCUUUUAUGACUAAAUUCUUUCCACAUCAUUCCUUUUAGGAUUCUAUUGAACCGUUCAACAAUUGAUGCUUUCAAUACACUGCAUGUAGAAUAAAGAUUUUGUUCUAUAUUUAUGCAUAAGCUCGCCAAAUGUUUUACUAAAAAUUCUUUCUCAUCACAAGUUUGCAAAUUCUUGGGAAUUCGUCCGAUUUUCAAUAUUUUUUUCAAAUGCUGCACAAACUUCUAAGGCAUUUUUAGAUUUGAACGCUUCAGCCCAUGCAUAUUUUGAAAAAGUAUCAAUCACUGUUAGCAUAAACCUGUAUCCCAUGUUUGCUUUAGAAUAUUUGCCCAUUUCAACUAAAUCAGCUUGCCAUAGAUCGUCAAUUCCCUUUACAAUGACCCUCGGCCUUUCAAUUUUUUUCUUGCCUGAGUGUGAAGUUCAUUCCCUAUUCCUCGUUACUCCAUCUUUUAUUUAAUCUAUUAUCUCACAGUGUAUGAGUAAAUGUAGUUAUCGAUAAAAGGUCAUAAAGUUCGUUUAACGAGUGUUUUAAACGCGAUAUUUCUUCUCUUAUAUCAGAACUAUCAAUUCUUCUAUCCAUUUCAUUAGGAUCGCCCCGUAUAUAUAGUUGGGUUUAUCGAGAUUUACUCUCAUUAGGCCUUUGCCGCUGUGAGUAUCAUCUAUCAAGUGUUUUAUAACACGUUUAUAUUUAUAUCCUCUGUUGGAUUUCAUUCGUUCAUUAUGUUUAUAGUUUACUUUAUAUGCAUUAGAGUCCAGCAAAAUUUUUUAAAUAUUUCUAAUUCUGAAGCGUCAUAAUAGAUAAUAAUAGACCCGGUGUAAAUGCCCAAUGUUGAUUUCCAAUAAUUAUUUUUUGAUCAUCAACUUUGAAUGGUUUGUCUCCAAAUUCCGCUCUCCGUUAAGAUCUUUGUGUGAUAAAAGAGAAAGGUCAACGGUAUUAUCAUUGUCCGUAUAAAAUGUGUCGUCUCUUAAAUCUGACUCAUCGUUUUCCCCACAUUUUAGGUUCUGGCUUAAUAUCGUGUUUAAAUUUGUUAACGGGUGUACUCAUAGUAAAAUAAUUUCUAUAUGAUUCAAUAUUUUUCUUCUUAGGUACUUGGGGAUUGAAUGCAUUAUCAUUCGUUAGUUUUAAUAGUUUAUGGCUCGUUUUUAUAUCUUCCCUUUAUAGUCCACUUUUGUUAUCCCUUACUUUAUGAAAAGUGAAGGAUAAAGUUCACAUUAUGGGGAUUCAUUAUUACAUCCUCCCUUUAAAAUAAAUUUAUUUUUUGCAGAGAUAUGGCAAUUAAUUGCCCUCAACGAUUACUUUUUGUAAAUGUAACUGGUAGUCACUGCAUUUUUUUACAGUGGCAUCUUUAUUUUACAAAAUUAACAAAAAUUAACAGAACGAAUUUGUAUUAAUUUCGUAAAAUAAAUAUACAAUUAUUUCUGCAAAAAAAUAAAGCGAAAAUGGAUAACCAAAAGGAAACCAGUCACAGAAAACCAUAAGCAUAUUAUCGAGAAUAAAAAGUCAGAUUCCGUCGUUUGGAGAAGAAGCAGUCUGGAAGAAAAUUGAAGAUGAUUUUGCGGCCAGCAUGGAAUUACGACGACCUUGAAAAGCACUGCUUGAUAAAUACGAGGUUUUAAAACGCAAGUCGAAGAUUGAACUUGCAGAACAGAAGUUGCAAACAUAUCGUAAGGGUGGUGGAAUGGUGACUUGUAAAGUAUCUACUGUUUCGGAAAAAAUUGCGGCUUAACUCUAGUUUAGUAAAAACUCUUCAAUUUUUUUCGAAAGUUUUUCCAGUGGCUUGUAAAAUACGUAUGAUAGUGAUUUCGUGGUUGAACCUGAUUACAUUGACUACAGUGAGUUAAAUGCAUCUAAUGAAUUUAUUGAGGAAAGCAAUAAAGAAAAUGUAAGUUGCCUAAUAAUUACUCUGUUCCAGUACUCUCAAGAAUCUACUAGAAUUGCAAUUUUCUCCGAUAUCAUAAAGAGGAAGUCGGUUAUCGUGUAGUGAAAACUAUUACAUUCUUGCUGUUCUGGAACAGACCAAAUAUGUCAUUGCUGAAGGAAUACACUAUAUACCACACGUGAAAAAAGAUAUAUAUGUUGGUGAAAAAAUUCUUGACAAAACCCACGGGAAAUAUACGAGCAAGUUUCAAUAAAUACCAUUUUUUUGCCAAUAAAAGUGGAAUUUUACAUCGUUCCAUUAGCUAGGUAAUAUUCUAGAAGUAGAAAAAUUUUAAAUUAUUUGCUCUUACCGAUUUUUACGGGGUUUUGUUAAGGGGUCCCAAUUCUGUUAAAUGCUAAAACAACUCGAUGAAUAUUUCAACAGAAAGAAAGGUCAACCGACUUUUGCCCACAGACUUGAAAAAAGCCUAGAUCAAAAUAACUGGUUAACGGCGGCAAAAGAAAACGCAACCUAGAGGAAGAAAAACUUGAACUUGUUCUUUUACAACAGAGCUUUAACAGGAACGAGAAUAUUCGUGCCCAAGAGAAGCAUGAAAACGAUGAAAUGCGUGCUUAAAAAAAGAAUGAACACGAAAUAUCUUCAUUGAGACUGGAGAAUGAAAUUUUGCAGUUAGAGUUGGAGGAAAAGAGGUUAAAAUUUUUAGAGUAAUUCAAAUGUAUUUUAUAAUUGUAAAUGUAUUUUGUAAAUAUAAGCAAUAUUGUUAGCUUUUCAGCACUUAAAAGACUGAAAAUAGAAUAGAAAUUUUUAAAUAAAAACUGAAUUACAAUUCGAUUUAUCCAACUAAA